rnacentral:rRNA from 1 species
AGUGAACGCUGGCGGCAGGCCUAACACAUGCAAGUCGAGCGGCAGCGCGGGGGCAACCCUGGCGGCGAGCGGCGGACGGGUGAGGAAUUCGUCGGAAUCUGCCUUUUUGUGGGGGAUAACGUAGGGAAACUUACGCUAAUACCGCAUACGUCCUACGGGAGAAAGUGGGGGACCGCAAGGCCUCACGCAGAAAGAUGAGCCGACGACCGAUUAGCUAGUUGGUAGGGUAAAGGCCCACCAAGGCGACGAUCGGUAGCUGGUCUGAGAGGAUGAUCAGCCACACUGGGACUGAGACACGGCCCAGACUCCUACGGGAGGCAGCAGUGGGGAAUAUUGGACAAUGGGCGCAAGCCUGAUCCAGCCAUGCCGCGUGUGUGAAGAAGGCCUUCGGGUUGUAAAGCACUUUUGUCCGGAAAGAAAUCCCUGGAGCUAAUACCUUCGGGGGAUGACGGUACCGGAAGAAUAAGCACCGGCUAACUUCGUG